GACGAACGCUGGCGGCGUGCUUAACACAUGCAAGUCGAACGGAAAGGCCCUGCUUUUGUGGGGUGCUCGAGUGGCGAACGGGUGAGUAACACGUGAGUAACCUGCCCUUGACUUUGGGAUAACUUCAGGAAACUGGGGCUAAUACCGGAUAGGAGCUCCUGCUGCAUGGUGGGGGUUGGAAAGUUUCGGCGGUUGGGGAUGGACUCGCGGCUUAUCAGCUUGUUGGUGGGGUAGUGGCUUACCAAGGCUUUGACGGGUAGCCGGCCUGAGAGGGUGACCGGCCACAUUGGGACUGAGAUACGGCCCAGACUCCUACGGGAGGCAGCGGUGGGGAAUAUUGCACAAUGGGCGGAAGCCUGAUGCAGCAACGCCGCGUGCGGGAUGACGGCCUUCGGGUUGUGAACCGCUUUCGCCUGUGACGAAGCGUGAGUGACGGUAAUGGGUAAAGAAGCACCGGCUAACUACGUG
rnacentral:rRNA from 1 species